AGUCUGAUGGAGCAACGCCGCGUGAGCGAUGAAGGCCUUCGGGUCGUAAAGCUCUGUUGUUAGGGAAGAACAAGUGCGAGAGUAACUGCUCGCACCUUGACGGUACCUAACCAGAAAGCCACGGCUAACUACGUGCCAGCAGCCGCGGUAAUACGUAGGUGGCAAGCGUUGUCCGGAAUUAUUGGGCGUAAAGCGCGCGCAGGCGGUUUCUUAAGUCUGAUGUGAAAGCCCACGGCUCAACCGUGGAGGGUCAUUGGAAACUGGGAGACUUGAGUGCAGAAGAGGAGAGUGGAAUUCCACGUGUAGCGGUG
rnacentral:rRNA from 2 species